rnacentral:rRNA from 1 species
CCGGCGCACGGGUGAGUAACACGUAUGCAACCUGGCCGUCACAGGUGGAUAACCGGAAGAAAUUCCGACUAAUACAGCAUAACACUCCUGAGGGACAUCCCUUGGGAGUCAAAGGAGGCAACUCCGGCGACGGAUGGGCAUGCGGCGCAUUAGGUAGUUGGUAGGGUAACGGCCUACCAAGCCGACGAUGCGUAGGGGUUCUGAGAGGAAGGUCCCCCACAUUGGAACUGAGACACGGUCCAAACUCCUACGGAAGGCAGCAG